rnacentral:tRNA from 1 species
GGCUCCGUGGCGCAAUGGAUAGCGCAUUGGACUUCUAGUAAUGAGUUGAAGUGAUUCAAAGGUUGUGGGUUCGAGUCCCACCGGAGUCG